ensembl:rRNA 5S_rRNA 5S ribosomal RNA
ACAUAAUUUCAUACCAACUCAAAGGCUCCCAAGCCCAUAUGAUCUGAGAAGCUAAGCAGGAUAGGACCUAGUUACUUUGAUGGGAUGUC